AUUGAACGCUGGCGGCAGGGCCUAACACAUGCAAGUCGAACGGUAACAGGAAGCAGCUUGCUGCUUCGCUGACGAGUGGCGGACGGGUGAGUAAUGUCUGGGAAGCUGCCUGAUGGAGGGGGAUAACUACUGGAAACGGUAGCUAAUACCGCAUAAUGUCGCAAGACCAAAGAGGGGGACCUUCGGGCCUCUUGCCAUCGGAUGUGCCCAGAUGGGAUUAGCUUGUUGGUGGGGUAACGGCUCACCAAGGCGACGAUCCCUAGCUGGUCUGAGAGGAUGACCAGCCACACUGGAACUGAGACACGGUCCAGACUCCUACGGGAGGCAGCAGUGGGGAAUAUUGCACAAUGGGCGCAAGCCUGAUGCAGCCAUGCCGCGUGUAUGAAGAAGGCCUUCUGGUUGUAAAGUACUUUCAGCGGGGAGGAAGGGAGUAAAGUUAAUACCUUUGCUCAUUGACGUUACCCGCAGAAGAAGCACCGGCUAACUCCGUG
rnacentral:rRNA from 1 species